rnacentral:lncRNA from 1 species
AUAGAAAAUAGUGGGCCAUUUGGAUUCCCUAUAUAGAGAAUAGAGGGCCAUUUGGAUUCCCUAUAUAGAGAAUAGAGGGCCAUUUGGAUUCCCUAUAUAGAGAAUAGAGGGCCAUUUGGAUUCCCUAUAUAGAGAAUAGAGGGCCAUUUGGAUUCCCUAUAUAGAGAAUAGUGGGCCAUUUGGAUUCCCUAUAUAGAGAAUAGUGGGCCAUUUGGAUUCCCUAUAUAGAGAAUAGAGGGCCAUUUGGAUUCCCUAUAGAGAAUAGUGGGCCAUUUGGAUUCCCUAUAUAGAGAAUAGUGGGCCAUUUGGAUUCCCUAUAUAGAGAAUAGUGGGCCAUUUGGAUUCCCUAUAUAGAGAAUAGAGGGCCAUUUGGAUUCCCUAUAGAGAAUAGUGGGCCAUUUGGAUUCCCUAUAUAGAGAAUAGAGGGCCAUUUGGAUUCCCUAUAUAGAGAAUAGUGGGCCAUUUGGAUUCCCUAUAGAGAAUAGUGGGCCAUUUGGAUUCCCUAUAUAGAGAAUAGAGGGCCAUUUGGAUUCCCUAUAUAGAGAAUAGAGGGCCAUUUGGAUUCCCUAUAUAGAGAAUAGAGGGCCAUUUGGAUUCCCUAUAUAGAGAAUAGUGGGCCAUUUGGAUUCCCUAUAUAGAGGGCCAUUUGGAUUCCCUAUAUAGAGAAUAGUGGGCCAUUUGGAUUCCCUAUAUAGAGAAUAGAGGGCCAUUUGGAUUCCCUAUAUAGAGAAUAGAGGGCCAUUUGGAUUCCCUAUAUAGAGAAUAGUGGGCCAUUUGGAUUCCCUAUAGAGAAUAGUGGGCCAUUUGGAUUCCCUAUAUAGAGAAUAGAGGGCCAUUUGGAUUCCCUAUAUAGAGAAUAGAGGGCCAUUUGGAUUCCCUAUAUAGAGAAUAGAGGGCCAUUUGGAUUCCCUAUAGAGAGAAUAGAGGGCCAUUUGGAUUCCCUAUAUAGAGAAUAGUGGGCCAUUUGGAUUCCCUAUAGAGAAUAGUGGGCCAUUUGGAUUCCCUAUAUAGAGAAUAGUGGGCCAUUUGGAUUCCCUAUAUAGAGAAUAGUGGGCCAUUUGGAUUCCCUAUAUAGAGAAUAGUGGGCCAUUUGGAUUCCCUAUAUAGAGAGAAUAGUGGGCCAGUGUUUCUGGGUCAUUUAAUAAUUGAGAUGAGAUAGUGCACUACAUAGGGAUUAGGAUAUAAUUUGGGCUUCACACAAUCACUUUUUAAAAUCGGAGCAUCACCCAUUCUUCAGAUUACGUUCCAAAUUAGAUCACUUUUCAUCUCAUUUAUAAACGGACAGAUAUCACUUCUGAUCUAAUGUAUAAACGGCCCAGAUAUCACAUCUGAUCUAAUGUAUAAACGGCCCAGAUAUCAAACCCCAAUAUCCAGGUCGAUACACUUUCUGAUCUAAUGUAUAAACGGGCCAGAUAUCACAUCUGAUCUAAUGUAUAAACGGGCCAGAUAUCACUUCUGAUCUAAUGUAUAAACGGGCCAGAUAUCACUUCUGAUCUAAUGUAUAAACGGGCCAGAUAUCCCGUCUGACCUAAUGUAUAAACGGCCCAGAUAUCAAACCCCAAUAUCCAGGUCAAUACUCUUUCUGAUCUAAUGUAUAAACGGCCCAGAUAUCACAUCUGAUCUAAUGUAUAAACGGGCCAGAUAUCCCUUCUGAUCUAAUGUAUAAAAUUGCCAGAUAUCACAUCUGAUCUAAUGUGUAAACGGGCCAGAUAUCACUUCUGAUCUAAUGUAUAAACGGCUCAGAUAUCACUUCUGAUCUAAUGUAUAAACGGCCCAGAUAUCACAUCUGAUCUAAUGUAUAAACGGGCCAGAUAUUCCCUUCUGAUCUAAUGUAUAAACGGCCCAGAUAUCAAACCCCAAUAUCCAGGUCAAUACUCUUUCUGAUCUAAUGUAUAAACGGCCCAGAUAUCACAUCUGAUGUAAUGUAUAAACGGGCCAGAUAUCACUUCUGAUCUAAUGUAUAAACGGCCCAGAAAUCCCUUCUGUUCCAAUGUAUAAACGGGCCAGAAAUCAAACCCUGAUAUCAAGGUCAAUACUGUUCCGAUUAACUGGUCUAUAUUAAAAUGUACAUAACCCCACACAUUCACCAUUACAGAAACAUCACGUUAAGAUUAUAUUAUAUACACUUAGUUUGAUUAUGGUUUUAUAAAAUGUAGAACUGUGUUAAUGUAUUUUAAAAGUCAACAUUUAAUAUCUACAUUUAAUCUAAUUUAAAUGAACUCUUGCUCCUGUCAUCGUUUGUAAAAUCCUGAUAAAGUUUCAUUCAAAAACACAAAUAUUGUACAAAACUGGCAACAGUGAAGACAUAAAAAGGAGGUUAAGACGUUUUCUUUGGCAGCUAUUAAAAUAAUUAAAAUAUGAGAGAGAGAGAGAGAGAGAGAGAGAGAGAGAGAGAGAGAGAGAGAGAGAGAGACAGAGAGAGAGACAGAGAGAGAGAGACAGAGACAGAGAGACACAGAGACAGAGAGAGAGAGAGAGAGACAGAUAGAGACAGAGACAGAGACAGAGACAGAGAGAGAGAGAGAGAGACAGAGAGAGAGACAGAGAGAGAGACAGAGACAGAGAGAGAGAGAGAGAGAGAGAGAGAGAGAGAGAGAGAGAGAGGAGUGUGUUUCUUGUGUAUGUGAGAGAGGAAGUGGUAGAGGUAGAUUCCAGGGGAGGAGAGAUUAGUGUCUUGAUAAGGACAGUCAGUCACAUGACCAGCUUCAUCUCAGUUCAGACACACCAACAUCAGACCUGGCUUAGGCUCAGUAAAC